AUUGAACGCUGGCGGCAGGCCUAACACAUGCAAGUCGAGCGAGCGGCGGACGGGUGAGUAAUGUAUGGGGACUGCCCGAUAGAGGGGGAUAACUACUGGAAACGGUGGCUAAUACCGCAUACUAUCGGAUAACCCAUAUGGGAUUAGCUAGUAGGUGGGGUAAAGGCUCACCUAGGCGACGAUCUCUAGCUGUUCUGAGAGGAUGAUCAGCCACACUGGGAGUGAGACACGGCCCAGACUCCUACGGAGGCAGCAGGGGGGAAGAGUGGACAAUGAGCGCAAGCUUGAGGCAUCCAUGCGGCGUGUAUGAAGAAGGCCUUAGGGUUGUAAAGUACUUUCAGCGGGGAGGCGUUAACCGCAGAAGAAGCACCGGCUAACUCCGUGCCAGCAGCCGCGGUAAUUC
rnacentral:rRNA from 1 species